GACAGAGGGUGCAAACGUUGCUCGGAAUCACUGGGCGUAAAGGGCGUGUAGGCGGGAAGGAAAGUCGGGCGUGAAAUCCCUGGGCUCAACCCAGGAACUGCACUCGAAACUUCUUUUCUUGAGUGCCGGAGAGGAAAGCGGAAUUCCUGGUGUAGAGGUGAAAUUCGUAGAUAUCGGAAGGAACACCAGUGGCGAAAGCGGCUUCCUGGUCCAGCACCGACGUUCAGGCACGAAAGCGUGGGGAGCAAACAGG
rnacentral:rRNA from 1 species